UGCUGGAGGUAUCAGAAGUGCGAAUGCUGACAUAAGUAACGAUAAAGCGGGUGAAAAGCCCGCUCGCCGGAAGACCAAGGGUUCCUGUCCAACGUUAAUCGGGGCAGGGUGAGUCGACCCCUAAGGCGAGGCCGAAAGGCGUAGUCGAUGGGAAACGGGUUAAUAUUCCCGUACUUGGUGUUACUGCGAAGGGGGGACGGAGAAGGCUAUGUUGGCCGGGCGACGGUUGUCCCGGUUUAAGCGUGUAGGUGUGUGUUCCAGGUAAAUCCGGUUCACUUUAACACUGAGGCGUGACGACGAGGCACUACGGUGCUGAAGCAACAAAUGCCCUGCUUCCAGGAAAAGCCUCUAAGCAUCAGGUAACAUCAAAUCGUACCCCAAACCGACACAGGUGGUCAGGUAGAGAAUACCAAGGCGCUUGAGAGAACUCGGGUGAAGGAACUAGGCAAAAUGGUGCCGUAACUUCGGGAGAAGGCACGCUGACAUGUAGGUGAAGUGAUUUACUCACGGAGCUGAAGUCAGUCGAAGAUACCAGCUGGCUGCAACUGUUUAUUAAAAACACAGCACUGUGCAAACACGAAAGUGGACGUAUACGGUGUGACGCCUGCCCGGUGCCGGAAGGUUAAUUGAUGGGGUCAGCGCAAGCGAAGCUCCUGAUCGAAGCCCCGGUAAACGGCGGCCGUAACUAUAACGGUCCUAAGGUAGCGAAAUUCCUUGUCGGGUAAGUUCCGACCUGCACGAAUGGCGUAAUGAUGGCCAGGCUGUCUCCACCCGAGACUCAGUGAAAUUGAACUCGCUGUGAAGAUGCAGUGUACCCGCGGCAAGACGGAAAGACCCCGUGAACCUUUACUAUAGCUUGACACUGAACAUUGAGCCUUGAUGUGUAGGAUAGGUGGGAGGCUUUGAAGUGUGGACGCCAGUCUGCAUGGAGCCGACCUUGAAAUACCACCCUUUAAUGUUUGAUGUUCUAACGUGGACCCGUAAUCCGGGUUGCGGACAGUGUCUGGUGGGUAGUUUGACUGGGGCGGUCUCCUCCUAAAGAGUAACGGAGGAGCACGAAGGUUGGCUAAUCCUGGUCGGACAUCAGGAGGUUAGUGCAAUGGCAUAAGCCAGCUUGACUGCGAGCGUGACGGCGCGAGCAGGUGCGAAAGCAGGUCAUAGUGAUCCGGUGGUUCUGAAUGGAAGGGCCAUCGCUCAACGGAUAAAAGGUACUCCGGGGAUAACAGGCUGAUACCGCCCAAGAGUUCAUAUCGACGGCGGUGUUUGGCACCUCGAUGUCGGCUCAUCACAUCCUGGGGCUGAAGUAGGUCCCAAGGGUAUGGCUGUUCGCCAUUUAAAGUGGUACGCGAGCUGGGUUUAGAACGUCGUGAGACAGUUCGGUCCCUAUCUGCCGUGGGCGCUGGAGAACUGAGGGGGGCUGCUCCUAGUACGAGAGGACCGGAGUGGACGCAUCACUGGUGUUCGGGUUGUCAUGCCAAUGGCACUGCCCGGUAGCUAAAUGCGGAAGAGAUAAGUGCUGAAAGCAUCUAAGCACGAAACUUGCCCCGAGAUGAGUUCUCCCUGAGACUUAGAGUCUCCUGAAGGAACGUUGAAGACGACGACGUUGAUAGGCCGGGUGUGUAAGCGCAGCGAUGCGUUGAGCUAACCGGUACUAAUGAACCGUGAGGCUUAACCUU
rnacentral:rRNA from 1 species